CCUACGGGAGGCAGCAGUGGGGAAUAUUGCACAAUGGGGGGAACCCUGAUGCAGCGACGCCGCGUGAGUGAAGAAGUAUUUCGGUAUGUAAAGCUCUAUCAGCAGGGAAGAAAAUGACGGUACCUGACUAAGAAGCCCCGGCUAACUACGUGCCAGCAGCCGCGGUAAUACGUAGGGGGCAAGCGUUAUCCGGAUUUACUGGGUGUAAAGGGAGCGUAGACGGUGAAGCAAGUCUGAUGUGAAAGGGCAGGGCCUAACCCCGGGACUGCAUUGGAAACUGUGGAGCUGGAGUGCAGGAGAGGUAAGCGGAAUUCCUAGUGUAGCGGUGAAAUGCGUAGAUAUUAGGAGGAACACCAGUGGCGAAGGCGGCUUACUGGACUGUAACUGACGUUGAGGCUCGAAAGCGUGGGGAGCAAACAGGAUUAGAUACCCCAGUAGUC
rnacentral:rRNA from 1 species